AAAGUUCUAUCAAUAUUUGAAUGUCCUGGACAUUUAGGGAACAUUCGGUGAACAUCUGUUUAAAUUAUUCCUGGAAUGUUACCAUAAGACAUUCUGUGAACAUACUACCAAUGUUCCUAUAUUUUAAGUUGCGAAAUAAUACAUACGUGUAAGAGAUACAACAUUACUUAUAACAUACCAGACAAACUAAGUGACACUUUAGGCCUACAGUGCAAUAAUAUGUCAAAUUUAAAGAGUUUCCCAAGUUCAAUUAAUACAAUAUUAUAAACAUACAAAUGUAAUAAAAAUUAUUGUUCGCGAAUAUUCAAUUUGGAAUGCGAUUUUGUUAAUAAAAAAAAUACUUAUAACUUAUGCAAAACCCAAGAGAGGCAUUUAUAUUUAUUUCUUUUGCGUUCAUUUUCAAAUUCGCCGUGCAUAUAUUUUUGUGCAUGGCGCUUGAGAGGGCAUCACGUGACUAAAAACGACCAACCAACGACCUCGCUUCGGCCAUCUUGGCAUCUUCAUCUUGCCACCUUUGUAUUAUUUGUGCUUUUUAAGAAUAUUUUUUUAAUUCGGAUACUUUUAUAAUAGCUUUAAUAGUAUUAUUAACAUAGUGAAUAAAAUGGUGUCCUGUUUUUAACGCAGUUAGAGUAGCAGAAACAAAUGUAGAUAAAAAAAUCUGCAGGAAUAACGUUUCAAUUAUGACAGAAACUCAAAACAAAUGACUGUGAAUGAAAAGCCCUAUUAAAAGCUUUCCAGAAGAUCCUGCGAAGAAGACAAGAAAGUAUAGAUUAGAUUUGUUAAUAGAGGAGUAUGUUCAAAACACUUUUUAGAAAAGAUAUUGACAGAACUUCACUUUCAUCUGUUCGUUUCCAAUAGCUUAUGUCACACAGAAUCAGCUGAGAGAAGUGGUCUACAAAAAACCAGAAAGGAAACGGAAUAUGUGGCUA
rnacentral:lncRNA from 1 species